rnacentral:rRNA from 1 species
GACAGAGGGUGCAACGUUGUUCGGAAUUACUGGGCGUAAAGCGCGUGUAGGCUGCUUCGCAAGUCGGAUGUGAAAGCCCUGGCUCAACCCAGGAAGUGCAUUCGAAACUGCAGAGCUGGAGUCCUGGAGGGGAAGGCGGAAUUCUCGGUGUAGAGGUGAAAUUCGUAGAUAUCGAGAGGAACAGCCGGUGGCGAAGGCGGCCUUCUGGACAGUGACUGACGCUGAGACGCGAAAGCGUGGGGGAGCAAACAGG